AAGCACCGAGGCAGACACGUUAUUCUCCUGCAACUCACGGAUCUGAGACUCAAGUGGCCAUUCCUGCUGAAGCAGGCGAUGGCUCUGAAGGGAAACGAGUGAUCCCAGGAAGUCUGUGAGGCGUUGCUGGUGCCCCAAGAGUUCGUGCACGCGGGUUGCAACUACCAACAGCUCUGUCGGCUGAACGAAUACCAGAUCAGUGGAGGAAGUUCGACCUUCACUUCUAUCCUGUUUCGCCCAUGUACUGUGACCUCUGGCGUCUCCUGCAUUCUUUUGGGCCCGUCCGAGCCGGUCUUUAAAACUCGGUUGGCUCUGUUCAGACGAGUUCCUCCCGUCGCCGCUUCUCCACCCUGGAGAGUCCGCCGAACCUAGGAGCGCAGCUCGCGAAGCUAGGCGACCUAAACUGAGAGUAUCCAUCUGUUUCUGAAGCGUAUCGACAGUCUGUUGGAGAUAGGCCAAGCUCCUGUGGAAUUCGGCGUUGGCUUCUCGCAGGCCCUCGCGGUGGGUAUCCGCAAGUCCCAUAUUUCUCCCUCCUGCAGAGAGAAGACGCAUGCGACGGUACUCCAGCUCCUCAUAGCGCCUCCACUCUUCACCUAGAGAUGCCUGCUGCUCUUUAACUCGGGUUAAAAGUUUUUUAAGUGCCUCUGCGGUGGCCGCCGCAAUAUCACUGUCGGCCACCCCAAACGCUCCCUGUUGCUCGUUCCACGUUGAUAGUGGUGACUUGGUUGUCUCGAACCCUGGCGACUCCGACGUCCAUAUUCUCUGCGGGGAACCUUCAAUCGUAGGUUUGUCCUCUCCGGGUAUUUGGCCUCUUCUUGAAGGUUUCGGCUCCUCGGCCCGUUGGGGCUGACGGUUACCUAAAUCUUGGUCAGCGGUCGUUUCAGCAGUCAUAGAGAGGCCUUGUCCCCGCCGCGACAGCUCUAAAGAAAUGGAGGGAUUUCCUUUAGAGUCUAGGGCAGCGCGUGAGGCUGUGUGCGUAAUAGAGUUGCUGGAAUCUCUUUCUACAUCCGCAGAAUUGCGUUUGUCUCCCAGUGUUCUUCCUCUGCUUGCUUCCUGCGCCAAAGUCUCAAUCACAUCAUCAUGGUGAUCCUUGGUAGUUGACUCAAUCCCCCUUUGCGUCUCAGCUGUCAGUUCAGGGAGAGAAGUGAGUGUCUCCAUCGAAGUGUCAGGGAACCAACGUGGGUCAUAAGCCACAGUUACUUGAGC
rnacentral:lncRNA from 1 species